rnacentral:rRNA from 1 species
GCUGGCGGUAGGCUUAACACAUGCAAGUCGUGCGAGAAAGUAUCUUCGGAUAUGAGUAGAGCGGCGGACGGGUGAGUAACGCGUAGGAAUCUACCUAGUAGAAGGGGAUAGCCCGAGGAAACUCGGAUUAAUACCGUAUACCUCCUUAGGGAGAAAGAGGGCCUCUCUUGAUGCUCUCGCUAUUAGAUGAGCCUGCGUAAGAUUAGCUUGUUGGUGAGGUAAUGGCUCACCAAGGCUACGAUCUUUAGCUGGUCUGAGAGGACGAUCAGCCACAUUGGGACUGAGACACGGCCCAGACUCCUACGGGAGGCAGCAGUGGGGAAUAUUGGACAAUGGGCGCAAGCCUGAUCCAGCCAUACCGCGUGUGUGAAGAAGGCUCUAGGGUUGUAAAGCACUUUAAGCAGGGAGAAAAAGUUAUAAGUUAAUACCUUAUAACCCUGAUGUUACCUGCAGAAUAAGCACCGGCUAAUUCCGUGCCAGCAGCCGCGGUAAUACGGAAGGUGCAAGCGUUAAUCGGAAUUACUGGGCGUAAAGCGCGCGUAGGUGGUUUGUUAAGUUGGAUGUGAAAGCCCUGGGCUCAACCUAGGAACUGCAUCCAAAACUAACUCACUAGAGUACGAUAGAGGGAGGUAGAAUUCAUAGUGUAGCGGUGGAAUGCGUAGAUAUUAUGAAGAAUACCAGUGGCGAAGGCGGCCUCCUGGAUCUGUACUGACACUGAGGUGCGAAAGCGUGGGUAGCGAACAGGAUUAGAUACCCUGGUAGUCCACGCCGUAAACGAUGACAACUAGCUGUUGGGAGACAAUGUCUUUCAGUGGCGCAGCUAACGUUUUAAGUUGUCCGCCUGGG